AACUCGAAAAGUAUGAAAAGGAAUUUUAAAAUAGCUCCUCACUUUUCCCACGCGGGACGGAAUACUAAAGUUUCAGGGCCGCGCUGCCUCUUUGGCCCACAUAGAGUUCAUGAAUUCAGUUUUGAUUGUUCCGCUCCCUCUUGCAAAACGUUCUCUGGAACUUUCUUCCAGAGUCCCCUUUUACCCUGAUGGUGACUCCUGCCUGCCCCACCUACCGCUCCAGGGUGAAUGAUGUAAUUGGAAUAAAGUGCUGGACCUAUUUACUCGCCGGGUCUUCUUGCGUGGCUCAGCUGCUAACAAUAGUUCCUCUUUAAAGGAAGAGGGGUCACAAUCCUGGCGAGACAAUAAGGAUAUGUGUUAAAUAUCCCUAAGAUCAGUUGUUUCCUUCAAGAAGCAUUCGUCUCAUUAAUUAGUGAUGCGGUUUAAAGUUAAUUCAGAGGCAAGGCCAAUGAGAGAAAAAAAUACCGUAAUCCUAUAGAUGGCAGAAACAAAGUUUCCCUCCCUUCUUUGAUAUUCACUUGGAGUGGUAACUAAAAAUACAAGUAACUAAGUACUUCACCUCCAGCUCCCUAAGCUAAGGUCUUUAAGAGAGGGUUCUGGGUUGUCAAGGACUUAAGAAGCCCAACAUGACUUCUAGGGAAGAUUGGGGAUACAGCCGUGACAGUACAAACUCAGAGGUCUGAGCAGUCAGAAACAGAGGUGGCUUCUGAGGCAAUGAGGCUUCUGCAGUGCAUGCACCUCCACAAGGAUAUGGUCUGCCCUACUGGAAAGCUCCCUGUCCGGAAGGGGAACACCAAACCGCAUUCUGUGGACGAGGAAAUGAGCAGCUUCUGUUCCGUCUCAGGUCUCAGCUGGAAAACAGUAUCUUGUCGCUUUCCUAGGAGUUGCCGAUGUAUCCUUACCAAAUUAAUCAAUAGGUUUUAAACUGGUAACUAUGGAUAUAUGGAUAUACCAAGUCAAUGUGGAAAGGACGUCUUAGACCCACUACGGAAGGCCUCUGACACUGUCAGAUGAACCUGUUCUUUUGUAACCUAUAGGAAAUCUUCAUGAAACAGCAGAGGACAGUCUCUCCUGGUUGCUUCAGAUCAAGGUUCUUGGCUCCUCCAGCAUAUAUCUGCCUGAAUGCUGCCGUACUUCCCACCGUGAUGAUAAUGGACUGAACCUCUAAAACUAAUUAAUGAGCUCCAAGCCUCUCCAAGCCAACAAGUGGCUCCAGAGUUGAGUAAAGAGCCCAAGUGAGUAAGUUUCUUUCCUAAUCCCCCACUGCUUUCAGCAGGAGCCAGUUGCCAGAAGCCAGGGAGAGCUAAUUGCCAGAAGUCAUCAGCUUCUGGAACAUCCUAUGAUUCCACCUCAGUAGCUAAAGGUCAAGGUUAGACCUUGACAGUCCACUGAUGCACACCCGCAAAAAUAAAGAGAUAUGUAUCACCAAGUAAUUAAUGCCUAUCUGUGAUGCUUUGCGAGUUUUCCUAUUCUAUCUAAAACCUCUAUUAAUUCACAUGGCUGCCAUGUUAAAAAGAAAUCACAGCAAGAUAAAGAAACUGGCUGGUUCACUUCUUGCUGGAACCGUUACCGUUUCAGCCAGCCACCUGCUUGCCCUGUCCUACAUGGCAGAGAGAGGCUUUUCUCUCUCCUUCCUAUGGCUCCUAACUGACGAGGGCCUCACCCCACGGUCUGUCUAGAAUGUUUUUAUCUCCCAGGGUCCUCUCUUGAAAUCAUGCCCAAGUCCUCCUAAAAUGUGAGGUCAUGUCCCACCAGUGCUGGGGUUCUCAGGAGCCGGGGGUAAGGAGCGCAGACUUCGCUUCUAAAGGAACAUUUGUUAAUGUCAGGAGACACUUUGCAUCUUUAUAACCAGAGGGCUGCUUCUGGCCUGCAGAGAGUAGAAGUCGGAGAUGCUGCCAGAAGGGCUAAGAUUGAGAAAACACUACACUGCUGAUUUGGAGGCUCAGUAUUAAGGGAUGACUUGGGGGCACUCUGAAUUCAUUGCUCCUUCCUCAUAGCAAGACAGUUGUUUUCUGAGGUCAGGUCUAAAGAGAAAAAGAGAGCUAAAGUUACCAUGUGCUUUUCCUACACAUGCUGAGAUCCAUGAUAUUUCAGUUAUUUGUACAGGUUAUCUAAAUAGUCACACAAGAAGCCAAAAGUAUAAGUUAUUUCAUUUUCUGGGAUUAGGAGAGAAAGAAGUAGUACAGUGCAAAUCAACCCUCACUUCUCUAAUUAUUUAUGAACACCAGCAAAUAGUUGGUAAUUGACAGCUUACUUGGGUGCGUAUAGCUAGUUAGCACAGUUAAAAAAAAACCUAUGUUUUCUAUUUAAAGAAUCUAAAG
rnacentral:sRNA from 1 species